rnacentral:rRNA from 1 species
UACGUAGGGGGCAAGCGUUGUCCCGGAUUUAUUGGGCGUAAAGAGCGUGUAGGCGGCUUGGUAGGUCCGCUGUGAAAACUCGAGGCUCAACCUCGAGAUGUCGGCGGAAACCACUUGGCUAGAGUCCGGAAGAGGGAAGCGGAAUUCCACGUGUAGCGGUGAAAUGCGUAGAGAUGUGGAGGAACACCAGUGGCGAAGGCGGCUCACUGGCCCGGUACUGACGCUGAGGUGCGAAAGCGUGGGGAGCAAACAGG